rnacentral:rRNA from 1 species
AUUGAACGCUGGCGGCAGGCUUAACACAUGCAAGUCGAACGAGUGGCGGACGGGUGAGUAAUGCUUGGGAAUCUAGCUUAUGGAGGGGGAUAACUACGGGAAACUGUAGCUAAUACCGCGUACCAUAGGAUGAGCCCAAGUGGGAUUAGGGAGUUGGAGGGGAAAAGGCUCACCAAGCCGACGGUAUCUAGCUGGUCUGAGAGGAUGACCCAGCAUACUGGUACGGAGACACGGCCCCGCCUCCUACGGGAGGCAGCAGUGGAGAAUAUUGCGCAAUGGGGGCGUCCGAACGCAGCCAUGCCGCGUGAAUGAAGAAGGCCUUCGGGUUGUACAGUUCUUUCGGUAGCGAGGCGUUAACUACAGAAGAAGCACCGGCUAACUCCGUGCCAGCAGCCGCGGUAAUUC